AAUUGCAUUUUUCAAAUUAAAUAUUAAACGAUAACGGAUUACGCGCCAAAGUGAUGUAGCAGAGAAACUGAGAAGAUGAAGACCUAGCGGUAACUUUUCGAGGUAAUUCAUUUAGACAUGUUCGCUCCAUUUCGUUUGCGAGAUUGUCCUUCAACGGGUCUUUGCCUACCACGGUUCUAUUCAUUUGAACCCUAACUC
ensembl:ncRNA F12D9.14 ncRNA